rnacentral:rRNA from 1 species
UACGGAGGGUGCAAGCGUUAUCCGGAUUCACUGGUUUAAAGGGUGCGUAGGUGGCUUUGUAAGUCAGUGGUGAAAGCCCGGAGCUCAACUCCGGAACUGCCAUUGAUACUGCUUAGCUUGAAUCACGUCGAGGUGGAUGGAAUAAUACAUGUAGCGGUGAAAUGCUUAGAUAUGUAUUAGAACACCGAUUGCGAAGGCAGUUCACUAAGCGUGUAUUGACACUGAGGCACGAAAAGCGUGGGGAUCAAACAGG